rnacentral:rRNA from 1 species
AAAGGAAUAGACGGGGGCCCGCACAAGCGGUGGAGCAUGUGGUUUAAUACGUCACUAACCGUAGAACCUUACCCAGGCUUGACAUCUGGGGAAUCCUGAUGAAAGUCGGGAGUGCUUCGUAAGAAGAACCCCAAGACAGGUGUUGCAUGGCUGUCGUCAGCUCGUGUCGUGAGAUGUUGGGUUAAGUCCCGCAACGAGCGCAACCCUCAUCCGAUGUUGCCAGCGUUAAGUCGGGAACUCUUCGGAAACUGCCCGUGUAAGCGGGAGGAAGGUGGGGAUGACGUCAAGUCAGCAUGGCCCUUACGCCUGGGGCUACACACAUGCUACAAUGGACGUGAACAAAGGGCAGCAAUACCGCGAGGUGGAGCUAAUCUCAAAAAUACGUCCUCAGUUCGGAUUGCAGUCUGCAACUCGACUGCAUGAAGUCGGAAUCGCUAGUAACCGCAGGUCAGCUAAACUGCGGUGAAUACGUUCCCGGGCCUUGUACACACCGCCCGU